rnacentral:rRNA from 1 species
GGCCUUUUGAUUUUAAUUUUAGGUCUGACCUGCCCACUGAUAAUUUAAAUGGCCGCGGUAUUUUGACCGUGCAAAGGUAGCAUAAUCAUUAGUUUUUUAAUUAAAAGCUGGAAUGAAUGGUUGGAUGAGAAAUUAGCUGUCUUUAUAUAAAUUUAUUAGAAUUUUAUUUUUAAGUUAAAAAGCUUAAAUUUUUUUAAAAGACGAGAAGACCCUAUAGAGUUUUAUAAAUAAUUUUUUUAUAAUUUUUUAGUAUUUUUAUUUUAUUUAAUAUUUAUUUAUUUAAUUGGGGUGAUUGAAAAAUUAAUUUAACUUUUUUUAUAUUUUUACAUUAAUUUAUGAAUAGUUGAUCCAUUAUUUGUGAUUAUAAGAUUAAAUUACCUUAGGGAUAACAGCGUAAUUUUUUUUAAGAGUUCAAAUCGAUAAAAAAGAUUGCGACCUCGAUGUUGGAUUAAAAUUAAUUUUUGGUGUAGCAGCUAAAAAUUUUAGGUCUGUUCGACCUUUAAAAUUUUACA